rfam:Candidatus Syntrophoarchaeum caldarius isolate BOX2 BOX2_8_reassembly_contig01, whole genome shotgun sequence.
GUCGGGAUAGCCCAGCGGCCUAAGGCGGUGGAUUGCUAAUCCAUUGUCCCAUUGGGACACGAGGGUUCGAAUCCCUCUCCCGACG